rnacentral:tRNA from 1 species
UUCCCUGUGGUCCAGUGGUUAGGGCUCUGCACUCCCACUGUUGGGGCCCCAGGUUCGAUCCCUGGUUGGGGGA